CCUACGGGAGGCAGCAGUGGGCAAUAUUGGACAAUGGGCGAAAGCCUGAUCCAGCCAUGCCGCGUGUGUGAAGAAGGCCUUCGGGUUGUAAAGCACUUUCAGUGGGGAAGAAAGCCUUGGGGCUAAUACCCUCGAGGAAGGACAUCACCCACAGAAGAAGCACCGGCUAACUCCGUGCCAGCAGCCGCGGUAAUACGGAGGGUGCGAGCGUUAAUCGGAAUUACUGGGCGUAAAGCGCGCGUAGGCGGUCUGAUAAGCCGGUUGUGAAAGCCCCGGGCUCAACCUGGGAACGGCAUCCGGAACUGUCAGGCUAGAGUGCAGGAGAGGAAGGUAGAAUUCCCGGUGUAGCGGUGAAAUGCGUAGAGAUCGGGAGGAAUACCAGUGGCGAAGGCGGCCUUCUGGACUGACACUGACGCUGAGGUGCGAAAGCGUGGGUAGCAAACAGGAUUAGAUACCCUUGUAGUC
rnacentral:rRNA from 1 species